UACAGAGGGUGCGAGCGUUAAUCGGAUUUACUGGGCGUAAAGGGCGCGUAGGCGGUGAGAUGUGUGUGAUGUGAAAGCCCCGGGCUUAACCUGGGAAGUGCAUCGCAAACUGUCUGACUAGAGUAUAUGAGAGGGUGGCGGAAUUUCCGGUGUAGCGGUGAAAUGCGUAGAGAUCGGAAGGAACGUCAAUGGCGAAGGCAGCCACCUGGCAUAAUACUGACGCUGAGGCGCGAAAGCGUGGGGAGCGAACAGG
rnacentral:rRNA from 1 species